rnacentral:rRNA from 1 species
ACUGCUCAGUAACACGUGGACAAUCUGCCCUGGAGAGGAGGAUAUCCCCGGGAAAUGGGAUUAAUACUCCAUAGUUUGUCUUAACUGGAAUGUUAUUCGAACGAAAGAUCCGUCGCUCCAGGAUGAGUCUGCGGCCGAUUAGGUAGUUGUUGGGGUAACGGCCCAACAAGCCUUUCAUCGGUACGGGUUGUGGGAGCAAGAGCCCGGAGAUGGAUUCUGAGACACGAAUCCAGGCCCUACGGGGCGCAGCAGGCGCGAAAACUUUACCAUGCGGGCAACCGUGAUAAGGAAACCCCGAGUGCCAGCACAGGCUGGCUGUCCGCCUGUUUAAAUAACUGGUGAAGAAAGGGCCGGGCAAGACCGGUGCCAGCAGCCGCGGUAAUACGAU